ACGCAGAGUGAGGAUGAAGACACUGGGUGAAGGGCCUCGGCUCCGAGACAAACGUUCACUGACAAACACCCACGUGUGCAGCAGGCCACACUUUAUGGUUGUUACCGGUAUCAUCAUCAUCAUUUUGGCCGUGCCUGUGGCAUGCGGGGACUCCCAGGCCAUGGAUGGAACCUGAGCCACAGCAGUGACAACACCGGACCCUUAACCCGCGGAGCCACCGGGGAGCUCCAAUAUACGACUUUUUACGUCUAAGAAAGGGAAGAAAGCAAAUAUGUGUGUACACACACACCCACAGAGAGAAUCACACACUCACAGAAUUGAAUGUACUUGCUCGAGUCUAAAAGUAGAACAAAUGCUUUUCACGUUAACCGAAGCCAUGAAAACGAUUCCGUGCAGGAAGAGAACAGAGCUGAACAGACAGCAAGAGAAUCUGGGCUUCUCUGAAUGUAUCUGGUUUUCCAGCUUUAACCUGGGAACUAUGGUGGUUUUUCACAUACUAUCAAAACAACAUUUUAAAAAACACCGUAGUAAAAGGCAAUCCCCAAUAGAAAGGAACGCUUCCAAUUCGUCCGCUGGGCCAGUAUCACCUUAAUACCAAAACCAGACAGAGGAAUCAUAGGACAACCGCAAUCCAGUAUCGCUUAGGAACAGAUGCAAAACCCAACAAAACAGCCAACAGAAGGAGGCAACAUAUAAAAAGGCUUAUACCCCAGGAGCCAGUGGAAUUUAUCCCGAGAAUGCAAGUUUAGCAUCGGCUAAAGCACUGCACAUAACACCACAUCAACAGCACAAAAAACCAGGACCCGCUGUGGCCCAGCAUAACAAACCUGACCAGUAUCAGCAAGGAUUUGGGUUCAAUCCCUGGCCUCGCUCAGUGGGUUAAGGAUCCUGCACUGCUGUGGCUGUGGCGUAGGCCGGCAGCUGAAGCUCCGAUUCAGCCCCCACCCUGGGAACUUCCACAUGCCUCAGCAGCGGUUCUAAAAAGCAGGAAAAAAACAAAACAAAACAACCCCCCCAAAAAAAAAACAGAACCAAAAAACAAAACCACAGGAUCAUCUCAACAAAUGCCAAAAAAGCACCUGACCAAUGCAACUUCCUUUCUG
rnacentral:lncRNA from 1 species